UAGGGAAUCUUCGGCAAUGGGGGGAACCCUGACCGAGCAACGCCGCGUGAGUGAAGAAGGUUUUCGGAUCGUAAAGCUCUGUUGUUAAGGAAGAACGAGUGUGAGAAUGGAAAGUUCAUACUGUGACGGUACUUAACCAGAAAGGGACGGCUAACUACGCGCCAGCAGCCGCGGUAAUACGUAGGUCCCGAGCGUUGUCCGGAUUUAUUGGGCGUAAAGCGAGCGCAGGCGGUUAGAUAAGUCUGAAGUUAAAGGCAGUGGCUCAACCAUUGUAGGCUUUGGAAACUGUUUAACUUGAGUGCAGAAGGGGAGAGUGGAAUUCCAUGUGUAGCGGUGAAAUGCGCAGAGAUAUGGAGGAACACCAGUGGCGAAGGCGACUUUCUGGUCUGUAACUGACGCUGAUGUGCGAAAGCGUGGGUAGCAAACAGG
rnacentral:rRNA from 1 species